AGCGAACGCUGGCGGCAGGCCUAACACAUGCAAGUCGAGGGGUAUAGUUCUUCGGAGCUAGAGACCGGCGCACGGGUGCGUAACGCGUAUGCAAUCUACCUUUUGCAGAGGGAUAGCCCAGAGAAAUUUGGAUUAAUACCUCAUGGUAUGUGAGAAUGGCAUCAUUUUCACAUUAAAGUCACAACGGCAAAAGAUGAGCAUGCGUCCCAUUAGCUAGUUGGUAAGGUAACGGCUUACCAAGGCAACGAUGGGUAGGGGUCCUGAGAGGGAGAUCCCCCACACAGGUACGGAGACACGGACCAGACUCCUACGGGAGGCAGCAGUGAGGAAUAUUGGACAAUGGGCGCAAGCCUGAUCCAGCCAUGCCGCGUGCAGGAUGACGGUCCUAUGGAUUGUAAACUGCUUUUGUACAGGAAGAAACACUGGUUCGUGAACCAGCUUGACGGUACUGUAAGAAUAAGGAUCGGCUAACUCCGUGCCAGCCGCCGCAGUAAUAC
rnacentral:rRNA from 1 species